rnacentral:tRNA from 1 species
GAACGGCCGCGACCAGCUGCCGGUCGCGCUGAUGACCGCCUUCGCUCGCCAGAUGCCGGUGUCCGCCUCGACCA